CCUACGGGUGGCAGCAGUCGAGAAUCAUUCACAAUGGGGGAAACCCUGAUGGUGCGACGUCGCGUGGGGGAAUGAAGGUCUUCGGAUUGUAAACCCCUGUCAUGUGGGAGCAAAUUAAAAAGAUAGUACCACAAGAGGAAGAGACGGCUAACACUGUGCCAGCAGCCGCGGUAAUACAGAGGUCUCAAGCGUUGUUCGGAAUCACUGGGCGUAAAGCGUGCGUAGGCUGUUUCGUAAGUCGUGUGUGAAAGGCGCGGGCUCAACCCGCGGACGGCACAUGAUACUGCGAGACUAGAGUAAGGGAGGGGGAACCGGAAUUCUCGGUGUAGCAGUGAAAUGCGUAGAUAUCGAGAGGAACACUCGUGGCGAAGGCGGGUUCCUGGACAUUAACUGACGCUGAGGCACGAAGGCCAGGGGAGCGAAAGGGAUUAGAUACCCCUGUAGUC
rnacentral:rRNA from 1 species